rnacentral:rRNA from 1 species
GUGUCAGCAGCCGCGGUAAUACGUAGGGUGCGAGCGUUAAUCGGAAUUACUGGGCGUAAAGCGUGCGCAGGCGGUGCGUUAAGACAGCUGUGAAAGCCCCGGGCUUAACCUGGGAAUGGCGGUUGUUACUGGCGCUACUGGAGUGUGGCAGAGGGAGGUGGAAUUCCACGUGUAGCAGUGAAAUGCGUAGAGAUGUGGAGGAACACCAAUGGCGAAGGCAGCCUCCUGGGCCAACACUGACGCUCAUGCACGAAAGCGUGGGGAGCAAACAGGAUUAGAUACCCUGGUAGUCC